rnacentral:rRNA from 1 species
CCUACGGGAUGCAGCAGUGAGGAAUAUUGGUCAAUGGACGAGAGUCUGAACCAGCCAAGUAGCGUGAAGGAUGACUGCCCUAUGGGUUGUAAACUUCUUUUAUAUGGGAAUAAAAUGUUCCACGUGUGGGAUUUUGUAUGUACCAAAUGAAUAAGGAUCGGCUAACUCCGUGCCAGCAGCCGCGGUAAUACGGAGGAUCCGAGCGUUAUCCGGAUUUAUUGGGUUUAAAGGGAGCGUAGGUGGAUUGUUAAGUCAGUUGUGAAAGUUUGCGGCUCAACCGUAAAAUUGCAGUUGAAACUGGCAGUCUUGAGUACAGUAGAGGUGUGCGGAAUGCGUGGUGUAGCGGUGAAAUGCUUAGAUAUCACGAAGAACUCCGAUUGCGAAGGCAGUUCACUGGACUGCAACUGACACUGAGGCUCGAAAGUGUGGGUAUCAAACAGGAUUAGAUACCCCUGUAGUC